UUUAUAUAUUUUUUUUAUUUCGAAGGCUAAAGAAUAAUUACACAAAUUAUGUGGUGAAAGGAUGGUAAUCGGUCACUGCAAUUCAUGGACGAUGCAGUGAGUCUACUGUUGCGAAUAAUUACUUAUCCGAAUAAAGUUUUGACACUAAUAUAUUAUAUCAGUUAUGAAUUAUCAUAUUAAAUCUGUUAUUCAAAUGAUUAGAUUGAAAAUAUGGAUAAAACAAAAAUUAUAAUAUAAUCUGAUGAUUCUUAAUUUAGAAAAAUUUCUUGAAGGUAGAUGAUCGAAAGUCGUAUGUGUGUAAUUAUAUGAUUUGAUUGAGAGACAACUCUAUAUAUUAAAAAGAAAGAAUUAGCAUAAAAUUGAUUUGGCGGUUCAUGUGAUGACGUGGGGCACCAGGCUCAGGUAAAAAUCCACAGAUAAUCCGGUGUAUGGUCUAUUAACGACGUGGAAGACAUGGUCCACCGGACACUUGGAUGCUUACGUGUUGAUUUUCCAUUGGCUCAAUAAACGCAGCAAGGACAUUACCUAUUGUAUAUAAGGAGGAAAUGGAAUUAAUUUUAACACUCAUUCUAUUAAUACUAUGUUUUACACUUUUCUUAAUAAAAAAAAAAGUAAUCACAUAAAUUCUCCUAUAAACUAAAUAUUUUGUUCCUGUUGUGUAAACUAAAUAUUUUGUUUCUUUAGGACAUGACUUACGCGGUUGUAACUUCCGCAAAAAAUUCUAAUCUACGAUGUGUUUGCUUCUCAAUCGAAAAUAAAAAUUAAAAUAAAAUCAAAAUGAGUUGGAAUGGAAAAUAGGAAUUGCUCGAGCUAAUCGCGUGUUUGACACUCAGAGGUUGAAUUAAAA
rnacentral:lncRNA from 1 species